GCUCUUGUAGUUCAAUGGAUAGAAUUCGAGUUUGCGGUACUCGCGAUGCAGGUUCGAUUCCUGCCAAGGGCACAA
rnacentral:tRNA from 1 species